GAGUUUGAUCCUGGCUCAGAAUCAACGCUGGCGGCGUGCCUAACACAUGCAAGUCGAACGCGAAAGGGGCUUCGGUCCUGAGUAGAGUGGCGAACGGGUGAGUAACACGUGGGUGAUCUACCUUCAAGUGGGGGAUAACGUUCCGAAAGGAACGCUAAUACCGCAUGAUGUCCUGGGUUUAAAGACCUGGAGACCAAAGCCGGGGACCGCAAGGCCUGGCGCUAGAAGAGGAGCCCGCGUCCGAUUAGGUAGUUGGUGGGGUAAAGGCCUACCAAGCCGACGAUCUGUAGCUGGUCUGAGAGGACGACCAGCCACACUGGGACUGAGACACGGCCCAGACUCCUACGGGAGGCAGCAGUGGGGAAUUUUGGACAAUGGACGCAAGUCUGAUCCAGCCAUGCCGCGUGCGGGAAGAAGGCCUCGGUUGU
rnacentral:rRNA from 1 species